UACGGGGGGGGCAAGCGUUGUUCGGAAUUACUGGGCGUAAAGGGCUCGUAGGUGGCCAACUAAGUCAGACGUGAAAUCCCUCGGCUUAACCGGGGAACUGCGUCUGAUACUGGAUGGCUUGAGAUUGGGAGAGGGAUGCGGAAUUCCAGGUGUAGCGGUGAAAUGCGUAGAUAUCUGGAGGAACACCGGUGGCGAAGGCGGCAUCCUGGCCCAACACUGACACUGAGGAGCGAAAGCCAGGGGAGCAA
rnacentral:rRNA from 1 species